rnacentral:rRNA from 1 species
GCAUGCAGUCGAGCGAGAGCCGGCCUUCGGGCCGGUGGAGAGCGGCGGACGGGUGAGUAACACGUGGGUAACCUGCCCUGGAGUGGGGGAUAACCCGGCGAAAGCCGGGCUAAUACCGCAUACGACCACCGAUGAGAGAUCGGAUGGUGAAAACUCCGGUGCUCCGGGAGGGGCCCGCGGCCGAUUAGCUAGUUGGUGAGGUAACGGCCCACCAAGGCGACGAUCGGUAGCUGGUCUGAGAGGAUGAUCAGCCACACGGGGACUGAGAACGGCCCCGACUCCUACGGGAGGCAGCAGCUAAGAAUCUUGCGCAAUGGGCGAAAGCCUGACGCAGCAACACCGCGUGCGGGAGGAAGGCCUUCGGGUUGUAAACCGCUUUUGCGAGGGAAGAAGUUUUGACGGUACCUCGCGAAUAAGGGCAGCGGCUAACUACGUGCCAGCAGCCGCGGUAAUACGUAGGUGGCAAGCGUUGUCCGGAUUUACUGGGCGUAAAGCGCCCGCAGGCGGCCCGGCAAGUUUCAGGUGAAAUCUCCCGGCUCAACCGGGAGGGGUCCUGGAAAACUGCCAGGCUUGAGGCAGGGAGGGGAAUGCGAAUUUCCGGUGUAGCGGUGAAAUGCGUAGAUAUCGGAACGAACACCAGCGGCAAGACGGCAUUCUGGCCUGUCCUGACCUCAGGCGAAGCGUGAGGAGCGAACCGGAUUAGAUACCCGGGUAGUCCACGCCGUAACGAUGAGUACUAGUGUUGGGGGUAUC